AUGCACCUCUUAAUUUGGCCACACGUACAAUUUUGUAAAACAGUGAAUUAUCCUUUUCUAGGGAAAGAACCUACUCCUUUGACCAAUGACUGUCAAUAUUUGAGGAGGAUUUCUUUGACUUUACACAUACAGGGGAACACAACUCAUAAAAGCGUUUUAUUGCCAUACCAUGACAUUGAUGGCAGAAUUUUGGUUGCAACAAAAUAUCCAGAUGUCCUGAGCAUCGACCCCUGAUUCUUGCAUUGAAUGUAUUUGUCUUUCAUUAAAAGAGAGCCAAAGCCAGAAGAGGUUUAUCCAAUUUUAAGCACUUUUUGAUAUAAUAUUCAUGAUUUUAUUUGCAAUAGCUGUGAUUAUGUGUAGUAUCACAAUAUAAAAUUGAUCUGUGAUUUAAAAUGAAAGUGUUGGGCUUUAAUGAGUGAAACACUUUGUGUGAUGUUUUCUACGUGUACAUGUUUUUAAUUUAUCUGCAACCUGUAACUCUUCACUGUCAGAUAUAAAUGUACUAAUAAAAUCUAGUUUUCCUGUAUCUUUUAAAAUUAU
rnacentral:lncRNA from 1 species